rnacentral:rRNA from 1 species
CAGUAGCCGCGGGAAUACGUAGGUCCCGAGCGUUGUCUGGAUUUAUUGGGCGUAAAGCGAGCGCAGGCGGUCAGAUAAGUCUGAAGUUAAAGGCUGUGGCUUAACCAUAGUAUGCUUUGGAAACUGUUUAACUUGAGUACAGAAGGGGAGAGUGGAAUUCCAUGUGUAGCGGUGAAGUGCGUAGAUAUAUGGAGGAACACCGGUGGCGAAAGCGGCUCUCUGGUCUGUAACUGACGCUGAGGCUCGAAAGCGUGGGGAGCAGACAGGAUUAGAUACCCCGGUAGUCCCUGUCUCUUAUACA